GAACGAGAAAGUGGAGCAAUCCAUGAGUAAAGUGGCGACCGGGUGAGUAACACGUGACUAACCUACCUCCGAGUGGGGAAUAACUCCGGGAAACCGGGGCUAAUACCGCAUAACAUCGCAAGAUCAAAGCAGCAAUGCGCUUGGAGAGGGGGUCGCGGCUGAUUAGCUCGUUGGCGGGGUAACGGCCCACCAAGGCGAAGAUCGGUAUCCGGCCUGAGAGGGCGCACGGACACACUGGAACUGAAACACGGUCCAGACUCCUACGGGAGGCAGCAGUGGGGAAUUUUGCGCAAUGGGGGAAACCCUGACGCAGCAACGCCGCGUGGAGGAUGAAGUCCCUUGGGACGUAAACUCCUUUCGACCGGGACGAUACUGACGGUACCGGAAGAAGAAGCACCGGCUAACUCUGUG
rnacentral:rRNA from 1 species